CUACGGGCGGCUCCAGUGGGGAAUAUUGGACAAUGGGGGAAACCCUGAUCCAGCAAUGCCGCGUGUGUGAAGGAGGCCUGCGGGUUGUAAAGCACUUUCGGUUGGGAGGACUGCUUCUAGCACUAAUAUUGUUGGAAGUUGACGUUACCUUCAGAAGAAGCACCGGCUAACUCCGUGCCAGCAGCCGCGGUAAUACGGGGGUGCAAGCGUUAAUCGGAAUUACUGGGCGUAAAGCGCGCGUAGGCGGCUAGAUCAGUCGGGUGUGAAAGCCCCGGGCUUAACCUGGGAACUGCAUCCGAUACUGUCUAGCUUGAGUACAGGAGAGGAGAGUGGAAUUCCACAUGUAGCGGUGAAAUGCGUAGAUAUGUGGAGGAACACCAAUGGCGAAGGCAGCUCUCUGGCCUGAUACUGACGCUGAGGUGCGAAAGCGUGGGGAGCAAACAGGAUUAGAUACCCCGGUAGUC
rnacentral:rRNA from 1 species